AGCCUUUCGGGGUGGAUUAGUGGCGAACGGGUGAGUAACACGUGGGCAAUCUGCCCUUCACUCUGGGACAAGCCCUGGAAACGGGGUCUAAUACCGGAUAACACUCUGUCCCGCAUGGGACGGGGUUAAAAGCUCCGGCGGUGAAGGAUGAGCCCGCGGCCUAUCAGCUUGUUGGUGGGGUGAUGGCCUACCAAGGCGACGACGGGUAGCCGGCCUGAGAGGGCGACCGGCCACACUGGGACUGAGACACGGCCCAGACUCCUACGGGAGGCAGCAGUGGGGAAUAUUGCACAAUGGGCGAAAGCCUGAUGCAGCGACGCCGCGUGAGGGAUGACGGCCUUCGGGUUGUAAACCUCUUUCAGCAGGGAAGAAGCGAAAGUGACGGUACCUGCAGAAGAAGCGCCGGCUAACUACGUGCCAGCAGCCGCGGUAAUACGUAGGGCGCAAGCGUUGUCCGGAAUUAUUGGGCGUAAAGAGCUCGUAGGCGGCUUGUCACGUCGGAUGUG
rnacentral:rRNA from 1 species